rnacentral:rRNA from 1 species
AUACGUAGGUGGCAAGCGUUGUCCGGAAUUAUUGGGCGUAAAGCGCGCGCAGGCGGCGCCUUAAGUCUGGUGUGAAAUCUUGCGGCUUAACCGCAAGCGUGCAUUGGAAACUGGGGCGCUUGAGUGCAGAAGAGGAGAGCAGAAUUCCACGUGUAGCGGUGAAAUGCGUAGAGAUGUGGAGGAAUACCGGUGGCGAAGGCGGCUCUCUGGUCUGUCACUGACGCUGAGGUGCGAAAGCGUGGGGAGCGAACAGGAUUAGAUACCCUGGUAGUCCACGCCGUAAACGAUGAAUGCCAGGUGUUAGGGGGGUCCACCCCUUAGUGCUGAAGUUAACACAUUAAGCAUUCCGCCUGGGGAGUACGACCGCAAGGUUGAA